rnacentral:lncRNA from 1 species
UUUGCAACAACAGAACACUGCCGAAUUUAUUUAAAGUACAUUUCAGAAAUGAAUAAUUUGGAUUCAUGCAUUUGAACUUUAAAAUUUUUUAUGAGUUAAAAUCAUUAAAUCAAUGACAUUUAGAAGCAGUCAUGCUGCCUUCUGUGUUCUCUUCAGAUUCUAAAUUCAGCUACAUGUGUCUUGUGAUCAGAAGAUCUGGUUACAAACAGCAAUAAUUGUUGCAAAGCAAAUUACAUGGUGGCACAGGAAAACAUUCCCCUUUCCAGUAAAGGAGAAAGUGGCUACCUCACUCACAACCUGCAGGCUAUAUAUAAUGCAGAUUACAGACUUCAAAACUGAUGUAUGCUAAAACAGAAAAACUAUGUCAUGAAAAAGACAAAGACUGCUUUGUUUAGGGAAAAACUUCUAGAGCACUGAUGAGAAAUACUUAAGUGUUUAUGAGCUAUGGAAACUUGUUCCUAGGAAACAAAUUUAUUCAUUUCCAUUCAUAAGCAUGCAGGCAUGCAAAUAAGAGCUCACACAUUUGAAUAAAAAUUGGUCAGAGCAUACCAAAUUUUGGAGCU